rnacentral:rRNA from 1 species
AACGAACGCUGGCGGCAUGCCUAACACGUGCAAGUCGAACGAAGCCUUCGGGCUUAGUGGCGCACGGGUGCGUAACGCGUGGGAAUCUGCCCCUUGCUUCGGAAUAACAGUUAGAAAUGACUGCUAAUACCGGAUGAAGUCUUCGGACCAAAGAUUUAUCGGCAAGGGAUGAGCCCGCGUAGGAUUAGGUAGUUGGUGGGGUAAAGGCCUACCAAGCCGACGAUCCUUAGCUGGUCUGAGAGGAUGAUCAGCCACACUGGGACUGAGACACGGCCCAGACUCCUACGGGAGGCAGCAGUGGGGAAUAUUGGACAAUGGACGCAAGUCUGAUCCAGCAAUGCCGCGUGAGUGAUGAAGGCCUUAGGGUUGUAAAGCUCUUUUACCAGGGAUGAUAAUGACAGUACCUGGAGAAUAAGCUCCGGCUAACUCCGUG